rnacentral:rRNA from 1 species
UUUAAAGUCUAACCUGCCCAAUGAGGGUUUAAAUGGCCGCGGUAUAUUGACCGUGCAAAGGUAGCAUAAUAAUUUGUUUCUUAAUUGGAAGCUAGAAUGAAUGGUUGGACGAGAAAUUUACUGUCUCUUAUUAAUUGUAUUAGAAUUUUAUUUUUAAGUAAAAAAGCUUAAAUUUUUUUAAAAGACGAGAAGACCCUAUAGAGUUUUAUAAUUUAUUUUAUUAAUUUUUUUUGGUAUUAUUUAUUUUUUAUGAUUUUAUUUAUUUUGUUGGGGUGACGGGAAAAUUUGAUUAACUUUUUUUUUUGUUUUCAUUUGUUUAUGAUUUUUUGAUCCGUUAUUUACGAUUAUAAGAUUAAAUUACCUUAGGGAUAACAGCGUAAUUUUUUUUUAGAGUUCUUAUUGAAAGAAAAGUUUGCGACCUCGAUGUUGGAUUAAAAUUAAUUCUUGGUGUAGGAGCUUAGAUAUUGGGUCUGUUCGACCUUUGAAAUUUUACA